rnacentral:misc_RNA from 1 species
GGAUUGCUGACCGAGCGGUCCUCCCUGUGGAAAACUCCCUCGCCGGCAGCAUCCACCGUAACUACGACCUCCUCCUUCGCCACCACCUCCACAUCGUUGGCGAGGUCCAGCUCCCCGUCCACCACUGCCUCCUCGCCCUACCCGGUGUCCGCAAAGAAUUCCUCACCCGUGUAAUCUCCCACCCUCAAGCCCUCGCUCAGUGCGAACAAACCAUC